rnacentral:rRNA from 1 species
UACAUGGGGUGCAAACGUUGCUCGGAAUCAUUGGGCGUAAAGCGCGCGUAGGCGGUUGCUUAUGUCGGAUGUGAAAGCCCUCGGCUUAACUGAGGAAGUGCAUCCGAAACUGGGCAGCUAGAGUACGAAAGAGGGUCGCGGAAUUCCCGGUGUAGAGGUGAAAUUCGUAGAUAUCGGGAGGAACACCGGUGGCGAAGGCGGCGACCUGGGUCGAGACUGACGCUGAGGCGCGAAAGCGUGGGGAGCAAACGGG